GAUGAACGCUGGCGGCGUGCCUAAUACAUGCAAGUCGAGCGAACGGACGAGGAGCUUGCUUCUCUGGUGUUAGCGGCGGACGGGUGAGUAACACGUGGAUAACCUACCUAUAAGACUGGGAUAACUUCGGGAAACCGGAGCUAAUACCGGAUGAUAUUUUGAACCGCAUGGUUCAAAAGUGAAAGACGGUCUUGCUGUCACUUAUAGAUGGAUCCGCGCUGCAUUAGCUAGUUGGUAAGGUAACGGCUUACCAAGGCAACGAUGCAUAGCCGACCUGAGAGGGUGAUCGGCCACACUGGAACUGAGACACGGUCCAGACUCCUACGGGAGGCAGCAGUAGGGAAUCUUCCGCAAUGGGCGAAAGCCUGACGGAGCAACGCCGCGUGAGUGAUGAAGGUCUUCGGAUCGUAAAACUCUGUUAUUAGGGAAGAACAUAUGUGUAAGUAACUGUGCACAUCUUGACGGUACCUAAUCAGAAAGCCACGGCUAACUACGUG
rnacentral:rRNA from 1 species